GUACAUCCAGAGAACUUGGCAGAGAUGCCUUGGUGCCUUCGGGACCUCUGAGACAGGUGCUGCAUGGCUGUCGUCAGCUCGUGUUGUGAAAUGUUGGUUAAGUCCCGNAACGAGCGCAACCCCUAUCCUUUGUUGCCAGCGAUUCGGUCGGGAACUCAAAGGAGACUGCCGGUGAUAAACCGGAGGAAGGUGGGGAUGACGUCAAGUCAUCAUGGCCCUUACGAGUAGGGCUACACACGUGCUACAAUGGCGCAUACAAAGAGAAGCGACCUCGCGAGAGCAAGCGGACCUCAUAAAGUGCGUCGUAGUCCGGAUCGGAGUCUGCAACUCGACUCCGUGAAGUCGGAAUCGCUAGUAAUCGUAGAUCAGAAUGCUACGGUGAAUACGUUCCCGGGCCUUGUACACACCGCCCGUCACACCAUGGGAGUGGGUUGCAAAAGAAGUAGAUAGCUUAACCUUCGGGAGGGCGUUUACCACUUUGUGAUUCAUGACUGGGGUGAAGUCGUAACAAGGUAAGCGUAGCGAG
rnacentral:rRNA from 1 species